rnacentral:lncRNA from 1 species
UUUCUAACAAGCUCCCAGGUAAGUGCUGAUGCUGCUGCUUUGAGGGCCACACACCUUGAGGAGUAGGAAGAGUACUCAUACUGGAAGAGUAUUCAGCACGGACUGGAAUCCUGCAUACAUAUCUGAGCUCUGUGUUCUGUAGAGAUGGGGUUUCACCAUGUUGCCCAGGCUGGUCUCAAACUCCUGAGCUCAGGCCAUCUGCCCGCCUCGGCCUCCCAAAGUGCUAGGAUUACAGGUGCCUGCUUCCCCUUCACCUUCCACCAUGAUUGUAAGUUUCCUGAGGCCUCCCCAGACAUGUGGAACUGUUUCUCUUAUUGCCUGGAUCCAAGAGCAUCUCCUGGGUUCUUCCUGUUAGAAUACUGAAUGUCCAUGGAGAGUUUAACAUAAGGAAGAAGAGGCCUGUCUCCCAGCUGAAACUGGUGCAGCAGAUCAUGCAAAGUAAAACCUCAGCAGCUGUGAUGAAGUAGAGCAGAGGGCCUGGGUGUCUGUCAGCUCCAAGCGGAAGAUUUCCCCAGCUUUCUAGGUAACUGUGCUUCCACUGAGCAAGCCAGACACAGACUUGAAUGUCAUCACAAUCUG